rnacentral:rRNA from 1 species
GACCAGACUCCUACGGGAGGCAGCAGUGGGGAAUAUUGCACAAUGGGGGAAACCCUGAUGCAGCGACGCCGCGUGAGUGAAGAAGUAUUUCGGUAUGUAAAGCUCUAUCAGCAGGGAAGAAAAUGACGGUACCUGACUAAGAAGCCCCGGCUAACUACGUGCCAGCAGCCGCGGUAAUACGUAGGGGGCAAGCGUUAUCCGGAUUUACUGGGUGUAAAGGGAGCGUAGACGGCAUGGCAAGUCAGAUGUGAAAGCCCGGGGCUCAACCCCGGGACUGCAUUUGAAACUGUCAGGCUGGAGUGCAGGAGAGGUAAGUGGAAUUCCUAGUGUAGCGGUGAAAUGCGUAGAUAUUAGGAGGAACACCAGUGGCGAAGGCGGCUUACUGGACUGUAACUGACGUUGAGGCUCGAAAGCGUGGGGAGCAAACAGGAUUAGAUACCCCAGUAC